rnacentral:miRNA from 1 species
AUGUUAUCAAUCACUCCCCCUG